rnacentral:rRNA from 1 species
GUCAUAUGCUUGUCUCAAAGAUUAAGCCAUGCAUGUCUCAGUACAAGCCAAAUUAAGGUGAAACCGCGAAAGGCUCAUUAAAUCAGUUAUGGUUCCUUAGGUCGUACCCACAAUUACUUGGAUAACUGUGGUAAUUCUAGAGCUAAUACAUGCAAACAGAGCUCCGACCGGAGACGGAAGGAGUGCUUUUAUUAGAUCAAAACCAAUCGGUGGCGGGUUCGCGCUCGUUAUCGUACAACUUGGUGACUCUGAAUAACUUUAGGCUGAUCGCACGGUCAUCGCACCGGCGACGCAUCUUUCAAAUGUCUGCCUUAUCAACUGUCGAUGGUAGGUUCUGCGCCUACCAUGGUUGUAACGGGUAACGGGGAAUCAGGGUUCGAUUCCGGAGAGGGAGCCUGAGAAACGGCUACCACAUCCAAGGAAGGCAGCAGGCGCGCAAAUUACCCACUCCCGGCACGGGGAGGUAGUGACGAAAAAUAACGAUACGGGACUCAUCCGAGGCCCCGUAAUCGGAAUGAGUACACUCUAAACCCUUUAACGAGGAUCAAUUGGAGGGCAAGUCUGGUGCCAGCAGCCGCGG